GAAGGAGAGCGCUCGGUAUUUUUCGGCAGCAGAGCAAGAACUCUUGAGUGAGGGAUUUCAGGAGUUUCAGAGUUUAAUUAAAACGCAAGGGAACACUGCAAAGGCUGCAAAAGCAAGGAGAGAGGGCUGGCAGGAAGUUGCUGACAAAUUAAACUCGUAAGUAAUUUAAUAAUAAUAAUAAUAAUGGAUUGGAUUUAUAUAGCGCUUUCCAAGGCACCCAAAGCGCUUUACAAUAGCACUAUUCAUUCACUCUCACAUUCACACACUGGUGGAGGCAGCUACGGUUGUAGCCACAGCUGCCCUGGGGCAGACUGACAGAAGCCAGGCUGCCAUAUCGCGCCAUCGGCCCCUCUGGCCAACACCAGUAGGCGAGCCACAACAGGACCCACUAGAACAUGGGAACAACAACCAAGAAAAGGGCAGAGCAAAAAAAGACAGGUGGUGGUCCUGCACCCCCUCGUCAACAAGUUGGUUACGUAAAUAAUA
ensembl:lncRNA